rnacentral:rRNA from 1 species
GGGUAACCUACCUAUAAGACUGGAUAACUCGGGAAACCGGAGCUAAUACCGGAUAAUAUUCGAACCGCAUGGUUCGAUAGUGAAAGAUGGUUUUGCUAUCACUUAUAGAUGGACCUGCGCCGUAUAGCUAGUUGGUAAGGUAACGGCUUACCAAGGCGACGAUACGUAGCCGACCUGAGAGGGUGAUCGGCCACACUGGAACUGAGACACGGUCCAGACUCCUACGGGAGGCAGCAGCC